rnacentral:tRNA from 1 species
UUCAUUAGAUGACUGAA